rnacentral:rRNA from 1 species
AGAGUUUGAUCAUGGCUCAGGACGAACGCUGGCGGCGUGCCUAACACAUGCAAGUCGAACGGAGCUAGUGGAAAUAAGCCAUGGCAGAAAUAAACUAAGCUUAGUGGCGGACGGGUGAGUAACGCGUGAGUAACCUGCCUUUAAGAGGGGGAUAACGUUCUGAAAAGGACGCUAAUACCGCAUAAAGCAGACGGUUCGCAUGAAUUGACUGCCAAAGAUUUAUCGCUUAAAGAUGGACUCGCGUCCGAUUAGUUAGUUGGCGGGGUAGAGGCCCACCAAGACGACGAUCGGUAGCCGGACUGAGAGGUUGAACGGCCACAUUGGGACUGAGACACGGCCCAGACUCCUACGGGAGGCAGCAGUGGGGGAUAUUGCGCAAUGGGGGGAACCCUGACGCAGCAACGCCGCGUGAAGGAAGAAGGUUUUCGGAUUGUAAACUUCUUUUAUUAAGGACGAAAGAGACGGUACUUAAUGAAUAAGCUCCGGCUAACUACGUGCCAGCAGCCGCGGUAAUACGUAGGGAGCGAGCGUUGUCCGGAUUUACUGGGUGUAAAGGGUGCGUAGGCGGCUUGGCAAGUCAGAUGUGAAAUGUAUGGGCUUAACCCAUAGACUGCAUUUGAAACUGUUGAGCUUGAGUGAAGCAGAGGCAGGCGGAAUUCCCUGUGUAGCGGUGAAAUGCGUAGAGAUAGGGAGGAACACCAGUGGCGAAGGCGGCCUGCUGGGCUUUAACUGACGCUGAGGCACGAAAGCGUGGGUAGCAAACAGGAUUAGAUACCCUGGUAGUCCACGCCGUAACGAUG